rnacentral:rRNA from 1 species
ACACGACUACAUUAGAUACCCCCUGUAGUCCAGGGUGUAAACGCUGCGGGCUUGGUGUUGGGGGGUCCUUUGAGGGCGCCCAGUGCCGGAGAGAAGUUGUUAAGCCUGCUGCUUGGGGAGUACGUCCGCAAGGAUGAAACUUAAAGGAAUUGGCGGGGGAGCACCGCAACGGGAGGAGCGUGCGGUUCAAUUGGAUUCAACGCCGGACAACUCACCAGGAGCGACGGUUACAUGAAGGCCAGGCUGAUGACCUUGCCUGAUUUUCCG